UAAGGAAUAUUGGUCAAUGGGCGGAAGCCUGAACCAGCCAUGCCGCGUGCAGGAAGACGGCCCUACGGGUUGUAAACUGCUUUUGUACGGGAAUAAACCUACCAACGAGUCGGUAGCUGAAUGUACUGUAAGAAUAAGGAUCGGCUAACUCCGUGCCAGCAGCCGCGGUAAUACGGAGGAUCCGAGCGUUAUCCGGAUUUAUUGGGUUUAAAGGGUGCGUAGGCGGCCUGGUAAGUCAGGGGUGAAAGACGGUAGCUCAACUAUCGCAGUGCCCUUGAUACUGAAGGGCUUGAAUGUACUAGAGGUAGGCGGAAUGUGACAAGUAGCGGUGAAAUGCAUAGAUAUGUCACAGAACACCAAUUGCGAAGGCAGCUUACUAUGGUAUGAUUGACGCUGAGGCACGAAAGCGUGGGGAUCAAACAGGAUUAGAUACCCGUGUAGUCC
rnacentral:rRNA from 1 species